CCACACAACACCAGGUAUCAGUCUUAGCCCCACACAACACCAGGUAUCAGUCUUAGCCCCACACAACACCAGGUAUCAGUCUUAGCCCCACACUACACCAGGUAUCAGUCUUAGCCCCACACUACACCAGGUAUCAGCCUUAGCCCCACACAACACAAGGUAUCAGUCUUAGCCCCACACAACACAAGGUAUCAAUCUUAGCCCCAAACAACACCAGGUAUCAGUCUUAGCCCCACACAACACAAGGUAUCAAUCUUAGCCCCAA
rnacentral:sRNA from 1 species